GACGAACGCUGGCGGCGUGCUUAACACAUGCAAGUCGAACGGAAAGGCCCCCAUCUUGGUGGGGGUGCUCGAGUGGCGAACGGGUGAGUAACACGUGGGUGAUCUGCCCUGUACUUCGGGAUAAGCUUGGGAAACUGGGUCUAAUACCGGAUAGGACCAUGGUUUAGUGUCUCAUGGUGGAAAGAUUAUUGUUUUGGUGCAGGAUGAGCUCGCGGCCUAUCAGCUUGUUGGUGGGGUAAUGGCCUACCAAGGCGUCGACGGGUAGCCGGCCUGAGAGGGUGGACGGCCACAUUGGGACUGAGAUACGGACCAGACUCCUACGGGAGGCAGCAGUGGGGAAUAUUGCACAAUGGGCGCAAGCCUGAUGCAGCGACGCCGCGUGGGGGAUGACGGCCUUCGGGUUGUAAACUCCUUUCGUUAGGGACGAAGCCGCACUUUUUUUGGGUGUGGUGACGGUACCUUUGUGAAGAAGCACCGGCUAACUACGUG
rnacentral:rRNA from 1 species